rnacentral:lncRNA from 1 species
GAGUGAUCUGAUGGUUCUGAAGUUCCCUGCCCUGCCUGGUUACACUAGAUACUGCACAGACUCCCUGUCCUAAAGAAUAUGCUCCAUGCCACCAUCUGUGAGAAGGCUUCAGGUUUGGAGUACACAGAACGUUCCUUCAACAAGUUUAACUAAACCUGAGUAUGCGCUUUGUUUGUGAGUUGAUCGGCCUGUUUUAU